UACGUAGGGUGCGAGCGUUAAUCGGAAUUACUGGGCGUAAAGCGUGCGCAGGCGGUUCGUUGUGUCGGCGGUGAAAGCCCCGGGCUUAACCUGGGAAUGGCCGUUGAAACUGGCGAACUGGAGUGUGGCAGAGGGGGGUGGAAUUCCGCGUGUAGCAGUGAAAUGCGUAGAGAUGCGGAGGAACACCGAUGGCGAAGGCAGCCCCCCUGGGCUAACACUGACGCUCAGGCACGAAAAGCGUGGGGGAGCAAACAGG
rnacentral:rRNA from 1 species